AUUGAACGCUGGCGGCAUGCCUUACACAUGCAAGUCGAACAGUAACGCGGGGCAACCUGGCGACGAGUGGCGAACGGGUGAGUAAUGCAUCGGAACGUGCCCAGUAGUGGGGGAUAGCCCGGCGAAAGCCGGAUUAAUACCGCAUACGACCUACGGGUGAAAGGGGGGGAUCGCAAGACCUCUCGCUAUUGGAGCGGCCGAUGUCAGAUUAGGUAGUUGGUGGGGUAAAGGCCUACCAAGCCGACGAUCUGUAGCUGGUCUGAGAGGACGACCAGCCACACUGGGACUGAGACACGGCCCAGACUCCUACGGGAGGCAGCAGUGGGGAAUUUUGGACAAUGGGCGCAAGCCUGAUCCAGCCAUGCCGCGUGCGGGAAGAAGGCCUUCGGGUUGUAAACCGCUUUUGUCAGGGAAGAAAUCCUCUGGGUUAAUACCUCGGGGGGAUGACGGUACCUGAAGAAUAAGCACCGGCUAACUACGUGCCAGCAGCCGCGGUAAUA
rnacentral:rRNA from 1 species